rnacentral:tRNA from 1 species
GCCUGGGUGGCUCAGUCGGUUGAGCGUAGGACUUCGACUCAGGUCAUGAUCUCACAGUUUGUGGGUUCAAGCCCCACAUCAGGCU